rnacentral:rRNA from 1 species
GUCUUUUCGUUAAUAAUUUAAAGUCUAAUCUGCCCACUGAUAUAUUUAUUAAAGGGCUGCAGUAUUUUGACUGUACAAAGGUAGCAUAAUCAUUAGUCUUUUAAUUGGUGACUUGUAUGAAAGAUUGGAUGAAAUAUAAACUGUCUCUUUUAUAAAAAAAAAAAUUGAAUUUAAUUCUUUAAUUAAAAAGUUAAAAUUAUUUAAAAAGACGAGAAGACCCUAUAGAGUUUUAUAAUUUAUUUUGUAAAUAUUUUUAUUUUUAUAUUUUUAUAAUUUUAAAUUAUUUUGUUGGGGUGAUAAAAAAAUUUAAUUAACUUUUUUUAAUAGUUUACAUUAAUAAGUGAUUAAAUGAUCCAAUUUUAUUGAUUAAAAGAAAAAAUUACCUUAGGGAUAACAGCGUAAUUUUUUUUUUUAGUUCAAAUAAAAAGAAAAGUUUGCGACCUCGAUGUUGGAUUAAGAUAAAAUUUAAAUGUAGAAGUUUAAAAUUUUGAUCUGUUCGAUCAUUAAAAUCUU